rnacentral:tRNA from 1 species
GGAAAGUAGCUCAGAGGUAGAGCACUUGUCUAGCAUGCAAGAGGCCCUGGGUUCCAUCCCCAGUGCCA